AUACGUAGGGUGCAAGCGUUAAUCGGAAUUACUGGGCGUAAAGCGUGCGCAGGCGGUUUUGUAAGACAGUGGUGAAAUCCCCGGGCUCAACCUGGGAACUGCCAUUGUUACUGCAAGGCUUGAGUGCGGCAGAGGGGGAUGGAAUUCCGCGUGUAGCAGUGAAAUGCGUAGAUAUGCGGAGGAACACCGAUGGCGAAGGCAAUCCCCUGGGCCUGCACUGACGCUCAUGCACGAAAGCGUGGGGAGCAAACAGGAUUAGAUACCCUGGUAGUCCACGCCCUAAACGAUGUCAACUGGUUGUUGGGUCUUCAUUGACUCAGUAACGAAGCUAACGCGUGAAGUUGACCGCCUGGGGAGUACGGCCGCAAGGUUGAAACUCAAAUGAAUUGACGGGG
rnacentral:rRNA from 1 species